UACGUAGGGUGCGAGCGUUAAUCGGAAUUACUGGGCGUAAAGCGUGCGCAGGCGGUUUUGUAAGCCAGAUGUGAAAGCCCCGGGCUUAACCUGGGAAUGGCAUUUGGGACUGCAAGGCUGGAGUGCGGCAGAGGAGACUGGAAUUCCUGGUGUAGCAGUGAAAUGCGUAGAUAUCAGGAGGAAUACCGAUGGCGAAGGCAGGGUCUCU
rnacentral:rRNA from 1 species